rnacentral:rRNA from 1 species
GAGUUUGAUCAUGGCUCAGGACGAACGCUGGCGGCGUGCUUAACACAUGCAAGUCGAACGAAAUUAAAAAAUUAUCAUUGAGCUCUCCGAUGAAACGGGAGCCAAGCGUCGUGACCGCGGAGCGGGCACCACGCGUUCAACAAGUGCAACACCAAGUCGAAGGGUUGAAUGGUAAUUUUUUAAUUUAGUGGCAAACGGGUGAGUAACACGUAGACAACCUGCCGACAGGAUGGGGACAACAUUCCGAAAGGAAUGCUAAUACCGAAUGAAGCGGAGGAGAGGCAUCUCUCCUCCGUGAAAGAUGGCCUCUUUUUAUGCUAUCACCUGUCGAUGGGUCUGCGUCUGAUUAGCUGGUUGGUGAGGUAACGGCUCACCAAGGCGACGAUCAGUAGCCGGUCUGAGAGGAUGAACGGCCACAUUGGGACUGAGACACGGCCCAGACUCCUACGGGAGGCAGCAGUGGGGAAUCUUCCGCAAUGGGCGCAAGCCUGACGGAGCAACGCCGCGUGAGUGAAGAAGGUCUUCGGAUCGUAAAGCUCUGUUGAUGGGGACGAAUGUGCGAAGGGUGAAUAAUCCUUUGUAAUGACG